rnacentral:lncRNA from 1 species
GUGCACGCAUUGUUUCAUUGAUUUGGCCAGGGGCAGAUACACAAAGAAAUAAUCAAUACUUUAAUUGAUUUUUCCAUUUCAAUUGGCGCCAUAACGUGGGGCCCCCGGAUUUGCCGGUUCGGAGGGCCGGAUACCAAGGACCAGAGCGGACCCCCAGAAAAUGGGACAAGCGGAGCCUGAUCACCUCCAUAAUACAGCCGUUGCCUGUGUUAUUCUCCUGUUUUGUGUCGGUCUGUCUCCGAGUCCACUUCCGGCUUCCAGAAGGCUACUAGAGACAGGUAUUUAGCUCAUCCGGGGUACCUUUUUAAAGUGAACCUGUCGAUUGUCUAUCUGCCUCCUGUAUUUGUUUGAAUGUGUGUGACGGCCGGAGUGUGUGUUUCCCCCCCCCCCUUUUUAAAAGACAAUAGCUUGACUGCCUAGCGGGCAGGGAACGCAUUUUAUAUGUUAGCUUGACUGCCUAGCGGGCAGGGAACGCAUUUUAUAUGUUAGCUUGACUGCCUAGCGGGCAGGGAACGCAUUACAGCUGGUGGGGCUGGGUUUUAUAUGUUAGCUUGACUGCCUAGCGGGCAGGGAACGCAUUACAGCCGGUGGGGCUGGGUUUUAUAUGUUAGCUUGACUGCCUAGCGGGCAGGGAACGCAUUACAGCCGGCGGGGCUGGGUUUUAUAUGUUAGCUUGACUGCCUAGCGGGCAGGGAACGCAUUACAGCCGGUGGGGCUGGGAUUUUACAGCCGGUGGGGCUGGGAUUUUAAGUUUGCUUGACUGCCUAGCGGGCAGGGAACGCAUUACAGCCGGUGGGGCUGGGAUUUUACAGCCGGUGGGGCUGGGAUUUUAAGUUAGCUUGACUGCCUAGCGGGCAGGGAACGCAUUACAGCCGGUGGGGCUGGGAUUUUAAGUUAGCUUGACUGCCUAGCGGGCAGGGAACGCAUUACAGCCGGUGGGGCUGGGAUUUUGUUUGUUUAUUACUGUGCUCCCAUUAGUACUUGUGUUAUACUGGGACCAGCCUGGUGGGUGAAGGCUGAGGAUUGCUAUACUUCGAUUAUUUGGCACCGGUGUCAGUAACAUGUACAUGGCCAUUUUACUCUCUGUCAUUCUGUGGUUUUUUGUUUAAUUGUUGUUACAGUGUGGGUACCCUUGGUGUGUGUGUGUGUGUAUGUAUAUAGUGUGGCUAGUUCUGGAUUCUGGGGUUUACACUCAUCUCUAUGUUUGUGAUUUUUGCAAAUGUCUUCUUGUUAGUGUAACCACUUUCAUCUUUUCAUUUGUCCUUUAUCUCUCCUGUGUUUGUUGCCCAGAGCUGUGUUAGUCACCCACGCUCGCCCCCUCCGGUCUGUGGCCACCUCCCCCGGGUGCACAGACCAUCGUGACUAGUCAGUCGAGCACUGUAGACUUUCCUACUUCUUCUUCCCUCUCACUUGGUCUCCUUUACUUGGCAGACCUCGCUUGGUCAAAAAGGGGCAAGAACAUGCUAGACCAGCUAAGGGGUAUUUGGCUUGUGAUAUUGUUAAAGAGAGGGCAGGGGAAGAAGCUAUGCUGAAAAUGAAAAAGUUAGCAAAGAUUUCUGGUUUCCAAAC